rnacentral:rRNA from 1 species
UCUUACGUUUAUAUCUUACUAAAUGCACCGGAUCCCGUUCGAUCUCCGAAGUAAAUCAGUUGCGAGCUAUCUUAGUACUUGGAUGGGAGACCUCCUUGGAACCGUUAGUAACGUAAAUC